rnacentral:rRNA from 1 species
UACGUAGGGGGCAAGCGUUGUCCGGAUUUAUUGGGCGUAAAGAGCUUGUAGGCGGUUUGUCGCGUCUGCUGUGAAAAUCCGGGGCUCAACCCCGGACUUGCAGUGGGUACGGGCAGACUAGAGUGUGGUAGGGGAGACUGGAAUUCCUGGUGUAGCGGUGGAAUGCGCAGAUAUCAGGAGGAACACCGAUGGCGAAGGCAGGUCUCUGGGUCGUAACUGACGCUGAGGAGCGAAAGCGUGGGGAUCAAACAGG